GAUGAAGAACGCAGCGAAAUGCGAUAAGUAGUGUGAAUUGCAGAAUUCAGCGAAUCAUCGAAUCUUUGAACGCACAUUGCGCCCUUCGGUUAUUCCUUAGGGCAUGCCUGUUCGAGCGUCAUUUCAACCUUCAAGCCUGGCUUGGUGUUGGGCGCUGUCCCGCCUCCGCGCGCGGACUCGCCCCAAAUGAAUUGGCAGUCGCACCCUCCGAGCCGCGAGCGCAGCACAAGUCGCGCGGGCGGAACUCUGGGGGGACGGACGCUCCACAAGACCCUUUCUCAGUCUUGACCUCGGAUCAGGUAGGGAUACCCGCUGAACUUAAGCAUAUCAAUAAGCGGAGGA
rnacentral:misc_RNA from 1 species